AGGGAUAACAGAAUAACCCCUCAGACCUAGUCUAGAUUAGUUACAGUUUGCUGGCAAUCUCAAGGGAGAUGACUCUGAUUCAAAGAUCUCUAUGUAAUUCUUAGUUCUUAUGAAGGAGGUAGACUGCAAGAUAUGGUAUAAUAGAGCUUCUGAAGUGAUCAGUUUACACAGGAAACAUCUGGAGCAGAGUAUGAGGUAAAGAAAUUCCACUGCUUAACUCAGCUGAUGAGAGGGUUCAAGAAGAAAUGAUCAACAUCAAUCAUAAAGAAAAGACAGAGUUAAUUGAAUGUCCAUGCCACUUAGGUGAAUCACUUGAAGACUAAGAGCAGAAAAAAACUGUAGAAAAUUGUCUUGAAAACUUUUUAUUUAACAGAGUACACAAGGUGUAAUGAUUCAGAAGUAAUGAGUCAUUUAGAAAUAAUAAAACUAUUACUUUGCCUGGAAAAUAUAGGCAAUCUUGGGUGGAUGACUCAGUGUGGAAACUGCUUCCAACAGAACAGUUUAAAAGAAUACCAAAAGUGUACAGUAAGGCCUAUUUGUGGAAUAAAAAGGAGACCUGGAAUAUUUUA